rnacentral:rRNA from 1 species
UUGAACGCUGGCGGCAUGGCUAAAACAUGCAAGUCGAACGAGCCCGCAAGGGCAAGUGGCGAAAGGGUUAGUAAUGCGAUCGAAUGUACCCUGAGGUGGCGGAUAGUCGUGGGAAACUGCGGGUAAUACGCCAUGAUCUCUCCGGAGCAAAGAUUUAUCGCCUUGGGAGCAGCGAUCGUCCUAUCAGGUAGUUGGCGGGGUAAUGGCCCACCAAGCCGAAGACGGGUAGCGGGUGUGAGAGCACGGCCCGCAACAUCGGAACUGAGACACUGUCCGGACUCCUACGGGAGGCUGCAGUAACGAAUCUUCCGCAAUGGGCGAAAGCCUGACGGAGCAAUGCCGCGUGUGGGAUGAAGCGCCUUCGGCGUGUAAACCACUGUCAGGGAACGGAACCAAUGAUUGUUCCCAAAGGAAGUGGCGACUAACUCUGU